CCCAGACUCCUACGGGAGGCAGCAGUGAGGAAUAUUGGUCAAUGGGCGAGAGCCUGAACCAGCCAAGUCGCGUGAGGGAAGACGGUCCUAUGGAUUGUAAACCUCUUUUGCCGGGGAGCAAAAAGCGGUACGUGUACCGCAUCGAGAGUACCCGGAGAAAAAGCAUCGGCUAACUCCGUGCCAGCAGCCGCGGUAAUACGGAGGAUGCGAGCGUUAUCCGGAUUUAUUGGGUGUAAAGGGCGUGUAGGCGGGAGUGCAAGUCAGAUGUGAAAACCACGGGCUCAACCUGUGGCCUGCAUUUGAAACUGUGCUUCUUGAGUACUGGAGAGGCAGACGGAAUUCCUAGUGUAGCGGUGAAAUGCGUAGAUAUUAGGAGGAACACCAGUGGCGAAGGCGGUCUGCUGGACAGCAACUGACGCUGAGGCGCGAAAGCGUGGGGAGCAAACAGGAUUAGAUACCCGAGUACAA
rnacentral:rRNA from 1 species